GGGUUGUGAGGUUAAGCGACUAAGCGUACACGGUGGAUGCCCUGGCAGUCAGAGGCGAUGAAGGACGUGCUAAUCUGCGAAAAGCGUCGGUAAGGUGAUAUGAACCGUUACAGCCGGCGAUGUCCGAAUGGGGAAACCCAGUGUGAUUCGUCACACUAUCGUUAACUGAAUACAUAGGUUAACGAGGCGAACCGGGGGAACUGAAACAUCUAAGUACCCCGAGGAAAAGAAAUCAACCGAGAUUCCCCCAGUAGCGGCGAGCGAACGGGGAGCAGCCCAGAGUCUGAAUCAGCUUGUGUGUUAGUGGAACGGUCUGGAAAGUCCGACGGUACAGGGUGAUAGUCCCGUACACCAAAAUGCACAGGCUGUGAACUCGAAGAGUAGGGCGGGACACGUGGUAUCCUGUCUGAAUAUGGGGGACCAUCCUCCAAGGCUAAAUACUCCUGACUGACCGAUAGUGAACCAGUACCGUGAGGGAAAGGCGAAAAGAACCCCGGCGAGGGGAGUGAAAAGAACCUGAAACCGUGUACGUACAAGCAGUGGGAGCACCUUCGGGUGUGACUGCGUACCUUUUGUAUAAUGGGUCAGCGACUUAUAUUCUGUAGCAAGGUUAACCGUAUAGGGGAGCCGCAGGGAAACCGAGUCUUAACUGGGCGUUAAGUUGCAGGGUAUAGACCCGAAACCCGGUGAUCUAGCCAUGGGCAGGUUGAAGGUUGGGUAACACUAACUGGAGGACCGAACCGACUAAUGUUGAAAAAUUAGCGGAUGACUUGUGGCUGGGGGUGAAAGGCCAAUCAAACCGGGAGAUAGCUGGUUCUCCCCGAAAGCUAUUUAGGUAGCGCCUCGUGAACUCAUCUUCGGGGGUAGAGCACUGUUUCGGCUAGGGGGUCAUCCCGACUUACCAACCCGAUGCAAACUACGAAUACCGAAGAAUGUUAUCACGGGAGACACACGGCGGGUGCUAACGUCCGUCGUGAAGAGGGAAACAACCCAGACCGCCAGCUAAGGUCCCAAAGUCACAGUUAAGUGGGAAACGAUGUGGGAAGGCACAGACAGCCAGGAUGUUGGCUUAGAAGCAGCCAUCAUUUAAAGAAAGCGUAAUAGCUCACUGGUCGAGUCGGCCUGCGCGGAAGAUGUAACGGGGCUAAACUGUGCACCGAAGCUGCGGCAGCGACACUAUGUGUUGUUGGGUAGGGGAGCGUUCUGUAAGCCUGCGAAGGUGGCCUGUGAGGGUUGCUGGAGGUAUCAGAAGUGCGAAUGCUGACAUAAGUAACGAUAAUGCGGGUGAAAAGCCCGCACGCCGGAAGACCAAGGGUUCCUGUCCAACGUUAAUCGGGGCAGGGUGAGUCGACCCCUAAGGCGAGGCCGAAAGGCGUAGUCGAUGGGAAACAGGUUAAUAUUCCUGUACUUGGUGUUACUGCGAAGGGGGGACGGAGAAGGCUAUGUUAGCCGGGCGACGGUUGUCCCGGUUUAAGCAUGUAGGCGGAGGUUCCAGGUAAAUCCGGUACCUUUUUAACGCUGAGGUGUGAUGACGAGGCACUACGGUGCUGAAGUAACAAAUGCCCUGCUUCCAGGAAAAGCCUCUAAGCAUCAGGUAACAUUAAAUCGUACCCCAAACCGACACAGGUGGUCAGGUAGAGAAUACCAAGGCGCUUGAGAGAACUCGGGUGAAGGAACUAGGCAAAAUGGUGCCGUAACUUCGGGAGAAGGCACGCUGAUAUGUAGGUGAAGCCCCUGCGGGUGGAGCUGAAAUCAGUCGAAGAUACCAGCUGGCUGCAACUGUUUAUUAAAAACACAGCACUGUGCAAACACGAAAGUGGACGUAUACGGUGUGACGCCUGCCCGGUGCCGGAAGGUUAAUUGAUGGGGUUAUCCGUAAGGAGAAGCUCUUGAUCGAAGCCCCGGUAAACGGCGGCCGUAACUAUAACGGUCCUAAGGUAGCGAAAUUCCUUGUCGGGUAAGUUCCGACCUGCACGAAUGGCGUAAUGAUGGCCAGGCUGUCUCCACCCGAGACUCAGUGAAAUUGAACUCGCUGUGAAGAUGCAGUGUACCCGCGGCAAGACGGAAAGACCCCGUGAACCUUUACUAUAGCUUGACACUGAACAUUGAGCCUUGAUGUGUAGGAUAGGUGGGAGGCUUUGAAGCGUGGACGCCAGUCUGCGUGGAGCCAACCUUGAAAUACCACCCUUUAAUGUUUGAUGUUCUAACGUUGGCCCCUUAUCGGGGUUGCGGACAGUGUCUGGUGGGUAGUUUGACUGGGGCGGUCUCCUCCCAAAGAGUAACGGAGGAGCACGAAGGUUAGCUAAUCCUGGUCGGACAUCAGGAGGUUAGUGCAAUGGCAUAAGCUAGCUUGACUGCGAGCGUGACGGCGCGAGCAGGUGCGAAAGCAGGUCAUAGUGAUCCGGUGGUUCUGAAUGGAAGGGCCAUCGCUCAACGGAUAAAAGGUACUCCGGGGAUAACAGGCUGAUACCGCCCAAGAGUUCAUAUCGACGGCGGUGUUUGGCACCUCGAUGUCGGCUCAUCACAUCCUGGGGCUGAAGUAGGUCCCAAGGGUAUGGCUGUUCGCCAUUUAAAGUGGUACGCGAGCUGGGUUUAGAACGUCGUGAGACAGUUCGGUCCCUAUCUGCCGUGGGCGCUGGAGAAUUGAGGGGGGCUGCUCCUAGUACGAGAGGACCGGAGUGGACGCAUCACUGGUGUUCGGGUUGUCAUGCCAAUGGCAUUGCCCGGUAGCUAAAUGCGGAAGAGAUAAGUGCUGAAAGCAUCUAAGCACGAAACUUGCCCCGAGAUGAGUUCUCCCUGAGACUUUAAGUCUCCUGAAGGAACGUUAAAGACGAUGACGUUGAUAGGUCGGGUGUGUAAGCGUAGCGAUACGUUGAGCUAACCGAUACUAAUGAACCGUGAGGCUUAACCUUACAACGCCGAAGGUGUUU
rnacentral:rRNA from 1 species